rnacentral:rRNA from 1 species
CAGCAGCCGCGGUAAUACGUAGGUGGCAAGCGUUGUCCGGAAUUAUUGGGCGUAAAGGGCUCGCAGGCGGUUUCUUAAGUCUGACGUGAAAGCCCCCGGCUCAACCGGGGAGGGUCAUUGGAAACUGGGAAACUUGAGUGCAGAAGAGGAGAGUGGAAUUCCACGUGUAGCGGUGAAAUGCGUAGAGAUGUGGAGGAACACCAGUGGCGAAGGCGACUCUCUGGUCUGUAACUGACGCUGAGGAGCGAAAGCGUGGGGAGCGAACAGGAUUAGAUACCCGGGUAGUCCCUGUCUCUUAUAC